rnacentral:rRNA from 1 species
AACGAACGCUGGCGGCGUGCCUAACACAUGCAAGUCGAGCGGGAAAGUUCCCUUCGGGGAGCGAGUACAGCGGCGAACGGGUGAGUAACACGUAGGCAACCUACCCCGGAGACCGGGAUAACCUGUCGAAAGGCGGGCUAAUACCGGAUAAGACCACGAGGGCCUCGGCCCUUGAGGUAAAAGGUGGCCUCUGCUUGCAAGCUAUCACUCCAGGAUGGGCCUGCGCGCCAUUAGCUAGUUGGUGAGGUAACGGCUCACCAAGGCGAAGAUGGCUAGCUGGUCUGAGAGGAUGGCCAGCCACACUGGGACUGAGAUACGGCCCAGACUCCUACGGGAGGCAGCAGUGGGGAAUCUUGCGCAAUGGGCGAAAGCCUGACGCAGCGACGCCGCGU